rnacentral:ncRNA from 1 species
GAUGAAGCGUUGUUGCCACAGUAAUCCUGCUCAGUACGAGAGGAACCGCAGUAUUCAGACAUUUGGUUCAUGGCUUGGCUGAUAAGCCAAUGGUGGAAGCUACCAUCUGAGGAUUAUGACUGAACGCCUCUAAGCAGAAUCCCGCCUGGAAAGCGACGAUGCAUUCGU